GUUUUAAUAGUUUAACAAAAACAAUGUCUUUGUAAGCCAUAGUUGUAAAAUUUUACUUAAAACU
rnacentral:tRNA from 1 species